GCUGCCCUACCCUGCACCAUGUCCUGGGCAAUCCCCCUCCUCACUCUGAUCUCUCUGUGCACUUGUUGUGCCGGACAGUAUGUGCUGACCCAGCCUGCAUCUGUGAGUGUCAGUGUGGGGGGCACAGUGACACUGACUUGCGAAGGGGACAAUAUUGCCAGCAAGUAUGUGCACUGGUAUCAACAAAUGCUCCCCAGUGCCCCCCGGCUCAUUAUAUACAGAGACAGCAAUAGACCCACUGGGAUCCCAGAACGAUUUUCUGGCACAAACUCUGGUAACACUGCAAGUUUACAGAUCUCUGGAGCCCAAGCAGGGGAUGAGGCUGAUUAUUACUGUCAGGUGUGGGAUAGCGAUAGCAAAGCUGCACAGUGAUACAGACACAGGGGGAAGUGAGACCAAAUCCUUCCUCUGAGUGUAAUGUAUAUAGAAAGAUCACAUACAGAGACAAGAAUGUAGACAUUAAAGGAAAAAUAAAGCUUAAGAAGUGGGGUAGAAAUAUUUUACAUUUAGUUUUGUGGUUCUGUACCAGCCCAAGGGCCACUACAUGCCUUUAGCAGUUUUAACCCCUUUAACACACAGUUUUUAACCCCUUAUUAUCUUAGAG